CAACGGCGGGAAAUGUCAGUCCUGCGCGGCAGUCGCCCGGACCUCUCAACAACACACUCUCCGACCCGUCUGUCCCGGGCCGCCACUCUCAGCCCCCGGCCAGCUCGCGCGGGCCACAAUCGGGGACCCUUGAGGGGUAGCGAACCUGGCCCGGCCCGCUCGCCACGCUGCGCUGCGCUGCGCCCACCGUGAGUCAGCAGGCAGCAGGUGGACGGGCCGGCUGCCUAGGGGCUUCCCGCCCGAUUGGAAGCCAUGGGGCUCCUGGGGUCCCCGAGCGGCCUGCGCCCCCAGCCCGGCCCCCCUCACACACAGUGAGUCAGCAGCACCAUAGCCGGCUAGCCCGGCCCCUCUCCGCCGCCUCCGACCCACACAGGCCGCGCCGGGACGGCGGAGCCGCGGGGACGGCGCCAGGCCCUUUACCGAUGGAGUGGAGGAUGUCGAUGGAGGCCUCCCGGUCGGUGCUGAGUAGAGACUGGGCUCUCUGGAACUCCACCACCGCUGCGGCCGCCAUCUUACCGCUCUCACACCGUCCCCGGCCGCGGCCGCCGACGCCGGAAACACACACCCGGAAGACCCGCCCUCGCGUUCCUACCAGAAGACCCCGCCUCCCUUCUCCGAGCACCCCGGGAGUUGUAGUCUCUCUGCCCCGUGGGUGGCCCAGGAGCGUCCCGCAAGCGACAAACGAGCUCCCCCAUCGCCAUCUCGCGGCCAUCUGAAGAGACAAACCGAAAUUAAUCCCCACCACUCCAAAAGAGGCUGAGUACUCAAGGAAAGCUGCUUGGCUGUUUGUAUAGUAUCCCCGUGUAACCAGUCACUCAUAGCGAUAGAUGAUCUUUCAAAUUGCCUAUUAUGUGGCAGGAAUAGCACCGUUCAGAUUCAUUCAGAUGUUUUGCAGGGAGGACACAUACACACACUCCCUUCCAGGACGGAAGAAAUCGCCAAUGUAAAAGAACACUGUCUUUCACAAAUAGCCAUUCCAUCAUCGGACAGAGCUUCACAUUGUGGAUUGAAAGUCAUCUUUGACCCAAUCAUUCAAUCUAAAUAGUUCUUGAGAUUCACAUUUGACUCAUACCAGCUUUCCAGCUCAACAAUAGAACAAAAUUUUCCUCCCGUAUCUCCAAUUCCUUCAACUGUAAUAGGAUAUCUGUGAAGAUAUCAAGGGAAAGGGGAAAAAAGCAUGUUUCUUAUCACUAAGGAUCAACCUAAAGAUGUUGCUAAACCUAUACAGAGGGAGACCUUCUAAGUUGAUGACAAUCUGGAAAUUAAAUAGCUGUGCUGUAUAAAAAACUAAGUAGAACCAACAUUAUACUCCUCUAUGACUGGACUAAUCAAUCUCUAUACCUGUCUCCUUUCAUUUGUCCAACAAUACUCAACAAGAGUCUUUGAAAAAAUAUUUAAUUAAUACCUAAGGAAACUGAAGGGAAUAAAGUGACUGACAGAACUG
rnacentral:lncRNA from 1 species